GAUGAACGCUGGCGGCGUGCCUAAUACAUGCAAGUCGAGCGAACGGACGAGAAGCUUGCUUUUCUGAUGUUAGCGGCGGACGGGUGAGUAACACGUGGAUAACCUACCUAUAAGACUGGGAUAACUUCGGGAAACCGGAGCUAAUACCGGAUAAUAUUUUGAACCGCAUGGUUCAAAAGUGAAAGACGGUCUUGCUGUCACUUAUAGAUGGAUCCGCGCUGCAUUAGCUAGUUGGUAAGGUAACGGCUUACCAGGGCAACGAUGCAUAGCCGACCUGAGAGGGUGAUCGGCCACACUGGAACUGAGACACGGUCCAGACUCCUACGGGAGGCAGCAGUAGGGAAUCUUCCGCAAUGGGCGAAAGCCUGACGGAGCAACGCCGCGUGAGUGAUGAAGGUCUUCGGAUCGUAAAACUCUGUUAUUAGGGAAGAACAUAUGUGUAAGUAACUGUGCACAUCUUGACGGUACCGAAUCAGAAAGCCACGGCUAACUACGU
rnacentral:rRNA from 1 species